AAAAAGUGAGGCACAACUCUAUUAAAUGCCUUGUCUAAGGUCAACAAGUCCGUUAGGGUUGGAACUAACUGACGACAGACGAAGCCGUCCUAACCCCUGAAAUCUACAAGUAGUCCAGGAAGAGGGGGAGAAGAUCCCUUUAGGUGUGAAGGAAGAAUGGACUGGAAAGUAGAGACCCUGAGAUCCAGGACGGAAGGAGGGAAGAGGCUCGCUUGACUGUCAUAAGCUUCAUUUUGCUGAAACAGACCCCAGAAAGGGCAGUGAUGAGAGAUGAGGCCACAAUACAGGAACACCAAGAGAAGGCGGAAAUCUUCAAGUCAGAAAGAGAGCUCGCUGAAACCUGACCAUGUUGGCACCCUGAUCUUAGACUUCCAGGCUCUGAAACUAUACUUGUUGCAUGGUUUCCAUUCUGUGCUGCCUUCUCUUCUGGACGAUGGGGUUAGGAUAGUGAAUGAGAAGGUUCUGGUAACCAGCAAUCUAAUCUCUACCUUCAUGAGAUUCACUUUUUUUUUUAACUCCCGUAUAAGAGUGAGAACAUGUGACAUUUGACUCUCUGUACUUGGUUUAUUUCAGUUAUCAAAAUGACCUCCAGUUCUAUUCAUGUUGCUAAAAAUGACAAAAUUUCAUUACUUUUUAUGGCUAAAUAAUAUCCCAUUGUAUAUUAUACCACAUUUUCUUUAUCCGUUAAUCUGUUGAUGGGCACUUAAGUUGAUUCAUAUUUUGGCUACUGUGAAUAGUGCUACAAUAAACAUGUAAGUGCAAAUGUCUUUUCGAUAUGUUGAUGUCCUUUCUUUGGAAUAUAUCCUCAGUAGUGGAAUUGCUAGAUCAUAUGGUAGUUCUAUUUUUAGUUUUUUUUUCAGAACUUCCAUACUGUUCUCCAUAGUGGCUUUACUAAUUUACAUUCCCACCAACUGUGUAUGAGGAUUCCCCUUUCUCUGCAUCCUUGCCAGCAUCUGUUAUUGACUGUGUUUUUGAU
rnacentral:lncRNA from 10 species